rnacentral:rRNA from 1 species
CCCUUAGAUGUUCUGGGCCGCACGCGCGCUACACUGAUGCAUUCAACGAGCCUAUCCUUGACCGGCAGGUCCGGGUAAUCUUUGAAUCUGCAUCGUGACGGGGAUAGAUUAUUGCAAUUAUUAAUCUUCAACGAGGAAUGCCUAGUAGGCGCAAGUCAUCAGCUUGCGUCGAUUACGUCCCUGCCCUUUGUACACACCGCCCGUCGCUCCUACCGAUUGGAUGUGCUGGUGAAAUGUUCGGAUCGGCCGUUUGUCGCGGUUUCCGCGUCAUGUGGCUGAGAAGUUCAUUAAACCCUCCCACCUAGAGGAAGGAGAAGUCGUAACA